rnacentral:lncRNA from 1 species
AGAGAGACUGUUAUAUUAUUCGAAUUUCAAACUGAUUUACAUAAUGAACUGAAACCUCUUCUAUUUAUAGAAGAAAGGAAGCUGCUACUGCAAGCUACUGUGUAAGCUACUACUACAAGCUGCUACAAUACCAGUUAUGGAUAAUCUUCUACUGAGAGUAAUGUUUAUUCAUAACCGAGUACUGAAGUGAUAAGCUUCUUCAGGAAGCUGCUACGCAAGCUGCUGUAUAAGUUGCUACUAUACCAGAUAUGGAUAAUCUUCUACCGAAGCUAAUGUUUAUCCAUAAUCGGAUACCGAAGUGAUAAGCUUAUUCAGAAAGCUUAUUUCCAAUAGAGUACCAAAUGGAUAAACAUAUUAAAGGCGUAGUCCCAUAUGGAUAAACUUUUUCGGAAAACUUAUUUACAACGAAGUACUAAAUAAACAUCUAUAAUAUAAUAUAUUUAUAACAAUAUUGGUUUAGUGGCAAAAUGUUACCCAACAGUGACUACUCACUAGAU